AAGAUGGCUGGAGAGAUAUUCGAUCCGCCAUUGGAAGCACCGCAACCGCUGCACUAGGCACGAUGGCGGAUCAGAGAAACGACUGGUAUGACGGCGAAUGUGAGCAGUUAGUUGAGGGAAGAAUGCAGUAUGGGCGAGAUUGCUGCAACACCGCACGAGGGCGAACGAGGCACGAUACAAACAGGCGCGGAACAGACAAACUCGAUUUUUAGGAGGAAAAAGCGCCAGCAGGAAGAUCGAGAUCGUGAAGAGACGGAGCAACUGUACCGCGCUAAUAACGCACGAUAGUUCCAUAAAGAGCCCCGCACAUAGCAUACGUUUGCGUUGCAUUUGACAGUUUUUCAAGGGGAUUAUCGAUUUGUAGUGAAGUGGCAGAGUUUCGAUGGUAAAACGUCGUUGGGAAGCGGAGGCAAGCCAACCAGAGCAGAAGAUGUUCCGUAAACAGAUGUGGCGAGGAGCGAAGGUGAUAUAGUGAGCUUUACCUUUACCUUGACCAGUCAGUCGGUUGAACUGGUAUUCAAAGACCGUUGGUUUCAUUGCUACUUUGAGUAGUCGACGAAACUUCUACGCAUCACCAGUUGUGUCUGGUAUACCGGGCAUGCUUCGCUCCAUGCAGCAUGGUUUGUCUCGAUUCGUAGUUUCCGCUUCACAUUCAUUUUUUUUUACAAUUCGCGCAUUCCUUAGAUUAACACUCUUGCACUGUGUGAUUUUCACAGCAUAUAGGGCACUUGGGUAAUUCGGCCUUACAAUCCUUACUCUUGUGGUUGAAUGCGCAACACUUGAAGCAUCUAGUCAUUUGCAAGCCAUCGAUCACUCGACAGCGAUCUCACCCACAGUUUGUUCAACUUUUCUUCUUGCAUAACCUUAGUGAACGUUAUGGCAUUCAGUUCAAUAAUGGCGCUCACGUCGUUAAAUUGCAACUUUGCAGUACGGUAUGUUUUGCACAAUUUAAAAUGUGAAAGGCAUGCAAAGGCUUCGUUUUGGUCAAACUGGUUCAACUAUUGUUAACUCAAUUCAUCACUCAUGCCGAUCAAUUUUGAUAGAUGGUUUCAGAUUUUUACGUACAUUCACAUCAUUCAGUCCUCCCAUAUUUAGUAUUAUCAAUCAUGUAAAAAACUUUGGACCAUUCCAUCCAACGGAGGACAUGGAAGAAUUACUGUAUGAGUAAAGCAACUGAUUCAUUCGUGAGAUUGCUACGAAAAUUCACCCUAAAUGGCUAAUCACCAGCAAACUUAUUCUGGUAGUUUAACUCACUGUGGUAUUAGUUUGUAAAACGAAUCCUACUAAUUACCUAAUAUUUAUUUGGUUUCAAUCACUAUACGAAGGAAUUUCUUUCAACAAUCGCAACACGACUACAUUUAUCAGAGCAUUUUCAUGUAUAUUUCGCAGAACUGUCCUAUGUCGACACCGAAGAUCCCGGUUGAAUUUGAAUGCUGCAUGCUAGCGACUAUUUUGAGAAAUGCGAAUAAACUGGUUUGUGUUGGAAAUGCUGCUUUCCUAAAACCUGAUUCAGAGUAAAGAACCCACACUUGUUUUUUGGUAAACUCGAUUGUAUUCAACGAUCACUUUAUAUUUAUGGUGGAAUUAAUUAUUUAAUACAAUCGAUUCGCACAAAAAACUAGCGUUUCUUUUUUACCCGAAUCGAGAUCUAGCGUUUCUACGGGACUGUGAUUAUAAGGUCUGUUUCAGUAGAAGCAAUAGCUAAUCGUGCGAUAUUGUUACACAGUGGUAAAAUUCUUUUUCAACAUUAUUAUUCGAUGUGCUGUUUGUGUGAUGCUUUCGAGGUGGUGGAAUUUUGACAAUAUGUUGUAACAUCAUCAUUUGUUCUGGUUCUCCUUCGUCAUAUCUGUUCGUUCAGCUUUAUUAUCAUAUUACGGACAUAUGCUUCCAAUCAGUUGAAUUGCGGUAAAAGCAAUCAUCCUCAUUUUAUAAUUUGCGCUUUCGUUUGUAAAUAACAAUCUCGUGUAGUUUAUCAUUUUGUUUAUUCAUCUGGUAGAGAACGGUAUGAACACUGUUUGUUCAAUACUCUUUCAACAUUUCCUUUUUUAUUGGUAAAUAUGAAAAACAUUGCUUAUAUUUGGAUUUUAAUGUUUUCAACAUGUUAUUUUAAGUUUUUAAGAUUUAUUUAAUUUUAGAAAAGUUUUUUUGUGCUUUUUUUUCUACAAGAAAGUGCGUUAUCGCAUCCUGGUAUAGAAUUAGUGGUGUUGGAUUUAUCUUUAGGAAAGGAAGGUUUUUAGUCUUAUUCGUAGAGUGGGCCUAUCGUUCAAAAUAUCAUAUUCAGUUAUUGAAAGAUACAUCGCGUCUAUUGAUUUCUUCUACGAUUUAGCUAUAGUGUAUUUGAGUACGGUAGCACAUAUUUUUAAUAAAUGCAAUGAUUGUUUUAGUUUUAUCGGUAAUUUAAUUUAUCUUUCCUAUUCUGUUUCCGACCACUAAUGUGAAAAUUUAUCAAAAUUUCAUCGAAAACGAACAGCUAAUGUUUAAAAAUUUCUAAUUUCAUUCUUGGAUUCCAAAUGAAAACCACUAAAAUUGCUUGCAAAAAUCACUAGAAACAUUAACUGCUACAUCAUUCAAAGCCACUUUCUUACUACUUUGGCAAAGAGUUACGAAUGUAAAAUCUCAACAAAAAACCAUAAUAUAUUAUGUGAAGCUAAAAUGCAUUUGAAUAAUUUAAUCGAUUCAAGAUUUCAGUAUUGUUUGUCUGUCAAUGUACUAAUGCUUAAUGAAAACGCAAAAUGGUAACUGUGAAAAACUGCUUGUAAUUCCGGCCAAGUGAGAUUUCAAAAUAAAAAUGGUGGAGUAUUGCAUACCUAUUGAGAACUGAGAGCGAAUCUUGUCUUAGAUAAGUAUUAGUAGAUACCACGGUACGAAAAACAACGAUUUUAUUUGUCUGAGCCUCGACAUCACCAUUUUCAACAUAUAUGAGGUAAUGAUGUUGACUUUAAUUGGAGUUCAAAAAUUAGCUUAUAAUCGUUUCAUGAAUGUAUUGUAGGUAGAUGUGCAAAGAAGCACCUCACAAAAAUAUAAAAUAAUAUUAAAUGUUUCGUCAUUAUUUCAUUGAUAUAAAAUGCUAUGUAAUUUUCCUCCAAACUCAGACGUAAAACAUGUUCAUAAUAGAAUUAGAGGCUUAGGUUCAGAUUUGAUAGUUUCGUUAGGAUACGUCAGGUAUGAAGAUCUUAUAUAAAAGUGGAUUUGAAAGCGACCUGAGGGCUCCCCUUUCAUACGGAAGAUGUCGGAAGAAAGAAGGUCGUGAGAAUUCACUUCUAUAUAAAAUCCUCAUGCCUGCAGUACCCUAACGGAACUACACUGGCCGGCAUAAUAAAGUGCCCACUUGCCGUUUUUUAUACAAAAUGGUUAACUUUGUAACUCAAGAUCUAGUUCACGAGCCUAUUUUGCUGAAAA